CGGAACCCGGUAGAAACAUCGGGUGCCCGCAAGGGUAGCCGAGAGACAGGUGCUGCAUUGGCUGUCGUCAGCUCGUGCCGUGAGGUGUGGGUUAAGUCCCGUAACGAGCGCAACCCCUGCCUUUAGUUGCGACCGGUAACGCCGAGCACUCUAAAGGGACUGCCUGGGAUAACCAGGAGGAAGGCGGGGAUGACGUCAAGUCAGCAUGGCCCUUACGUCCAGGGCUACACACGUGCUACAAUGGCCGGUACAGAGGGAAGCAAUACCGCGAGGUGGAGCAAAUCCCAUAAAAGCCGGCCUCAGUUCAGAUCGGAGGCUGCAACUCGCCUCCGUGAAGGCGGAAUCGCUAGUAAUCGCGGAUCAGCAGGCCGCGGUGAAUACGUUCCCGGGCCUU
rnacentral:rRNA from 1 species